CGUCGAUUGUCCUCUAACGAGUAUCUAACUGCGAUAAGUAAAUUAAAUUUUAUUAAAAAAUGUCCAAGUUCAUUUUUUUUUUAAUAUGUAUGACUGCAUUGUCUGCUAUUGGGGAUUGUGAACAACUCCAAGGGUGCCCAGGUUGUGUAGGCCAUGCUGAGUUUUGUACAGACAACCCAUGCUGCUUCGGUUAUACUUGCCGGGACAAUACUUUUGGCGAACGAAAAUGUUCCAGUGACCACCAUCGUCGUUAUUAUAAUUGGGACUAAUCAUUACUUCUAUCGAUUUAGCCUUAAAUGCCGGAACCUUAAAUGAAUGGUAAAAUUGACCCCUAUCUCUAUCAGAAUAAGAAUAAAUUCUUUAUGAAUAAAAAUUAUUACCUCAUCAAGACAAAUGUUUUACCAUUCAGUAUACACAAAUUUUUCUCCGAAUAUGUAAAAACUGUAAUUUCUUAUCAUAUAAACUGCUGUAUCUUGAAUAAAAAUAUUGUAAAUUUUCAAGCAUAAAAUAAAAGUGAU